rnacentral:rRNA from 1 species
UACGGGGGGGGUAAGCGUUGUUCGGAAUUACUGGGCGUAAAGCGCACGUAGGCGGGUUUGUUAGUCAGGGGUGAAAUCCCGGGGCUCAACCUCGGAACUGCCUUUGAUACUGCAAGUCUCGAGUCCGAUAGAGGUGGGUGGAAUUCCUAGUGUAGAGGUGAAAUUCGUAGAUAUUAGGAAGAACACCGGUGGCGAAGGCGGCCCACUGGAUCGGUACUGACGCUGAGGUGCGAAAGCGUGGGGAGCAAACAGG